GGUCUCAGCAAAGAGUCCCUCCCGACUGUUUACCAAAAACACAGCACUUUGCCAACUCGUAAGAGGAAGUAUAAGGUGUGACGCCUGCCCGGUGCUCGAAGGUUAAGAGGAUGCGUCAGUCGCAAGAUGAAGCGUUGAAUUGAAGCCCGAGUAAACGGCGGCCGUAACUAUAACGGUCCUAAGGUAGCGAAAUUCCUUGUCGGUUAAAUACCGACCUGCAUGAAUGGCGUAACGAGAUGGGAGCUGUCUCAACCAGAGAUUCAGUGAAAUUGUAGUGGAGGUGAAAAUUCCUCCUACCCGCGGCAAGACGGAAAGACCCCGUGGACCUUUACUACAACUUAGCACUGCUAAUGGGAAUAUCAUGCGCAGGAUAGGUGGGAGGCUUUGAAGUAAGGGCUUUGGCUCUUAUGGAGCCAUCCUUGAGAUACCACCCUUGAUGUUUCUGUUAGCUAA
rnacentral:rRNA from 1 species